AUUGAACGCUGGCGGCAGGCCUAACACAUGCAAGUCGAGCGGAUGACGGGAGCUUGCUCCUUGAUUCAGCGGCGGACGGGUGAGUAAUACCUAGGAAUCUGCCUGAUAGUGGGGGACAACGUUUCGAAAGGAACGCUAAUACCGCAUACGUCCUACGGGAGAAAGCAGGGGACCUUCGGGCCUUGCGCUAUCAGAUGAGCCUAGGUCGGAUUAGCUAGUUGGUGAGGUAAUGGCUCACCAAGGCGACGAUCCGUAACUGGUCUGAGAGGAGGAUCAAUGAAACUGGAACUGAUACACGGUCCAGAAUCCUACGGGAGGCAGCAGUGGGGAAGAUUGGUCAAUGGGCGCAAGCCUGAUCCAGCCAUGCCGGGUGUGUGAAGAAGGUCUUCGGAUUGUAAAGCACUUUAAGUUGGGAGGAAGGGCAGUAAGCUAAUACCUUGCUGUUUUGACGUUACCGACAGAAUAAGCACCGGCUAACUCUGUGCCAGCCGCCGCGGUAACAC
rnacentral:rRNA from 1 species